rnacentral:rRNA from 1 species
CAGUAGCCACGGGAAUACGAAGGGGGCUAGCGUUGUUCGGAAUCACUGGGCGUAAAGCGCACGUAGGCGGACUUUUAAGUCAGGGGUGAAAUCCCAAGGCUCAACCUUGGAACUGCCUUUGAUACUGGAAGUCUUGAGUUCGGGAGAGGUGAGUGGAACUGCGAGUGUAGAGGUGAAAUUCGUAGAUAUUCGCAAGAACACCAGUGGCGAAGGCGGCUCACUGGCCCGAUACUGACGCUGAGGUGCGAAAGCGUGGGGAGCAAACAGGAUUAGAUACCCCUGUAGUCCCUGUCUCUUAUAC